CAUAAGUUAAAAAAAGAGGUAGUAAGAUAGUCGUAAAAUACGUAGCGAUGACCUACGUAAAUUAGUUAAAUUUGACAACCAUUCCCACAUACUGAGGCGAACACACAAUAUAGGAUAAUAUUGCUAUAUUAUGCCUACAGUAAAAUGAUGAAGUUCAAUAUUAAAUUAUUUCAAUUAUGAUGUAAUAUUUGUUAAAAAACUUCUAUUUAUGAAUUAUAUAUAUAUUUAGCUUCAAUGUAAGGAAAUGAUAAAUUAUUAAUGACUUCAGCCGAACAUUUUAUUAGUUUAAUUACUGUGGCAAGUGCUAAGAAAUUAGCCACUGCACUUGUCUUGUGUUUUAUUUUAUAUCAUGGAUUAAUGCACAUUAUAUAUGGUAGUGACUCUUGUAAAUGGUUAUUAACAGAAGGAAGAUAUAAAGGAGAUAAAGAAUGGCAGCCUUAUGGUUGUAUGAUGCAUUAUUAUACACAAACAGACAGUCGCAGAUGUUUGAGAUAUCUAGCUUUCAUGGGCCACCAUAAUCACUUUGUAUUUAUUGGAGAUGUUAGAAUCAGACAACUAUAUAAGUCUUUUAUAUCACAAUUUAUAGUUGAUGGGAAAGCAUCUGAUUUAACAGAAUUACCAGAGAAUUCUGAUUUAAAUUUCAAUGAUGCACAACUUAGAUUAAAUGUACAAUUUUUGUGGAGACCUCAAUUGGAUAAUACUAUGGUAGAAGAUCUUAGAAGUUGGAUGAAAACUGAUGCACCUAGUUUAAUUAUUUCAGGCUGUGGAGCAAUGACAAUUCUUGCUAAUAAUAAUAGUGACACUCAAUUGUACUCUGAAUAUAGUAUGGGAUUAGUGAGACUUGUACAACCAGUAGACUUUUUAGCCAAAAAAAAUACAAAAUAUUUAUGGAUGUUGCAAGAUCCUGUAGUAAAAGAAAGACUGCCAGCUCAAUUAUCAGGCAUAGAUAAUAGACAGAUCAAUUUAUGUAAUAAAGCAGCAAUAAAGAUACUAUCUCAUAGUGAGGUUCAUAUAUGGGAAAGUAGUAAACUUGUUGGUGCAGGUGUAUUGGAACAAAGUCCAGAUGGAUAUUUAGCUAGUCCUUUGUCUUUGCGACAUAAGAUUCAAAUAUUGUUAAACACUUAUUGCAAUGAUCAUAUGAAUUUUGAUGAUGGAAGUUGUUGCAGUUAUCCAGAACCAGCAACAAUAUUGCAAUUAUUAAGUUUGUCAAUACUUGCUUUAUGCAUAAUAAUUGGUGGUGGAAUGUGGUUGUAUAGAAAGUUUUGUUAUUAUCGAACUGAAAUUUCUUACUUACGCGUUGAAAUGGAAAAUACUGAAGAAGCAAAUAAUUCUGAAACUAUACAAAUUGAGCAACCUGAAGUACAAGAUUUUUAUACUUUAAUGACAUCUCUGGCUCUCUUGUCAAUUAUUUUAUAUUACUUUUAUUUAUGUGAUAGGACAAAUUUCUUUAUGAAAGAAAAUAAAUACUAUAGUGAAUUUAGUUUUUGGUUGCCAUUAGGAUAUAUAUUAGCUCUUGGUUUAUUUUUUACUGAAGAUAGAGAAAGAGGGCCAAGAACUUUAAAUCGAGAACAAACAGAUGAAUGGAAAGGAUUAAUGCAAGCUGUAGUAUUAAUUUAUCAUGUUACUGGAGCUAAAAAUGUCUUACCUAUUUAUAUGUAUUUAAGAUUAAUUAAUUCUGCUUACUUAUUUCUUUCUGGAUACGGACAUUUUUGUUACUUUUGGCAAACGGGUGAUGUUUCUUUAAUAAGAUUUGCACGAGUAAUGUUUAGAUUAAACUUUCUAACUGUGUCUUUAUGCCUUUGUAUGAACAGACCAUAUCAGUUUUAUCACUUUGUUCCUUUAGUCUCAUUCUGGUUUCUAGUAAUUUAUUUCUUAGCAUGGUUACCACCAAGAAUAUAUUCUGGUAGUUUAAAUGAAUAUGGACCGAGAGCUUUACUUUAUCUUGCAUUGAAACUUUUAGGUCUUGUAUCAAUGAUCACAAUAUUAUACAUGUCAGAGGUGUUUUUUGAAAAAGUAUUUGUAACAAGACCUUGGAAAGCAUUAUUUGUUACAACUGAUGAUGAUAUACGUGAAUGGUGGUCACGUUGGAGAGUGGAUAGAUAUAGUAUGACUUGGGGAGUAACUUUUGGGGCAGGUCUUGUAGCUUUGCAAAGAAUAGAUCACAUUCCAGGAACUGCGUUAUCUUCUCUAUUAGCAUUAAUUUCUUUAACUGCUUAUACUACUUUUACAAUAUUAUGUCAUUCAGUAUCUGAAUGUGAGGAAAUUCAUUCAUAUGUUGCAUUUAUUCCAAUUAUAGGUUACAUUGCACUUAGAAAUGCAUCAUUAGCAUUACGUGGUAAGCAUUCAGCUCUUUUGACUGGUUUAGGUCGCAUCAGCUUAGAAACUCUAGUCGCACAAGGUCACAUUUGGUUGGCAGCAGAUUCGCAUGGUGUAUUAGUUUUAUUGCCAAGAUUUCCAGUAUUAAAUCUUUUAGUUACAUCAUUCAUCUUUAUAUGUGCAAGUCACGAAAUACAUAGAUUAACUCAAGUAUUAGCACCAUAUGCAGUACCAAAUGAUUGGAGACUAGUGGCUCGCAAUUUAUUAUUAUUUAUUGCAGUUCUUGUACCAAUUGGCAUUCAUGAUGGAAUGUUUUGAAAUAUAUGUUUUUAUAAUUAGUCAAAUUCUAUAUAUAAAAAAAUGCUUCAUGUAUAUCUAAUUUUUUUAUAGAUUACAAACAUGUUUCUAAUAUUGCUGAUAAUUUUUUCAAGCAUUAAAACUUUAUAUCUAUGAAGCAAAAUUAAAGAAUAAUUACAUAUUUUUUCUUAAAAAAAUAAUAAAUAAUAUGUUAAACUAAAUUAUAUUUUGAU